rnacentral:rRNA from 1 species
GUGGGGAAUAUUGGACAAUGGGCGAAAGCCUGAUCCAGCAAUGCCGCGUGAGUGAUGAAGGCCCUAGGGUUGUAAAGCUCUUUUACCCGGGAUGAUAAUGACAGUACCGGGAGAAUAAGCUCCGGCUAACUUCGUGCCAGCAGCCGCGGUAAUACGAGGGGAGCUAGCGUUGUUCGGAAUUACUGGGCGUAAAGCGCGCGUAGGCGGUUUUUUAAGUCAGAGGUGAAAGCCCGGGGCUCAACCCCGGAAUAGCCCUUGAAACUGGAAGACUAGAAUCUUGGAGAGGUCAGUGGAAUUCCGAGUGUAGAGGUGAAAUUCGUAGAUAUUCGGAAGAACACCAGUGGCGAAGGCGACUGACUGGACAAGUAUUGACGCUGAGGUGCGAAAGCGUGGGGAGCAAACAGGAUUAGAUACCCGGGUAGUCC